GACGUAGGGCGCGAGCGUUGUCCGGAUUUAUUGGGCGUAAAGAGCUCGUAGGCGGCUUGUUGCGUCAGCUGUGAAAAACCCGCAGCUCAACUGUGGGCUUGCAGCUGAUACGGGCAGACUAGAGUGAUGUAGGGGGAGACUGGAAUUCCUGGUGUAGCAGUGAAAAUGCGCAGAUAUCGGGGAGGAACACCAAUUUGCGAAGGCAGCUCGCUGGGACGUGACUGACGCUGAGACGCGAAAAAGCGUGGGGG
rnacentral:rRNA from 1 species